GCUGCUUGGUGGGUAGAAGCCAGAUGAUGGGAAAGAAACCAAAUCAUCAUUUAAAAAAAUAAAGAAAUGAGAGACUCCAGCAGCUAUUCCAGUCCUUGGCUCAGUGCUUGGUUUAUUAUUCUCAGAGGUGAGCAGGAGCCUGACGGCGUCUCUCGUGAAAGGGCUGCACGUUCCGGAGAUGCAAGGUAAUUAUGGUAAUGACGAGGCUUGGCGACUUGGUAGUUUAUUAUGGGAGCGCCCUUUGUGCAGUCAAGAAGUGAGGAACGGAGAUGCUAUGGGAUUGAAGGCGAAGCGUCAGCCUCAAACAGGAGGGGUUCCGAAGCCGGAGUCCAAGUGAACAAAAGAAGACUGAAGAACAUCUCCAGCAUCUUGAAGUCCACUAUUUGUGCCAAAAAGAGAGAACAGAUUAACAAGCCUUAUAUUUGCUAAGCAGUGAAAAAUCUGUCGUAAACUCACCUCGGGCUGACACCCUCUCCUUAUAUCUCUGAAGAUCAAGGGUGGAGAAUUUUCCAAGAGGGAAGGAUUGUAUUUUCCACCAUAUCUUGAGCCUCUCUCAUCUUUGGAUACGGGAUUGUAGCUGUUCACUGAGCCCGCUCUUGGC